AAAAACAGAGGGGAUUCAGAUUUUUUUUUUUUAAUGGAAAUUAUUGUCCAAAAACAAAAGAAACAUUGAAGAAAUUGAGAGUUCAAUUUAAAAGUAAAAGAGAUCAUUAAAAUGAGUAAAAGAGACUAGAAACACCAUAAUUGACUGUGUAAUUAUAAAAUAUAUGGAGUCGUUUUUUUAUUUUUCAAAUUUUGUGAACAUAUUAUCCCUAAAUAAUGAACACAAAAAUUGAUUUAAAUAUAAUGUUGGUGUUGAUUGCAAUUAAUAAUAGCUAACUAUAGAGAUUUGAUUGAAACAAUUAAAACAUUUCACCACGACAACAAGGUCAAGAAUGCAAGUUGUUUAUUAUUAUGAAUUGGUUUCAAGACGAACAAUUUAACAACAAAUUCCAAACCUCUAUAUUUAGGAUUCAUGCAUUUAUCUACAUUUUAUGAAACUAAGUUGCUCAAAUAAUCUAACCAUUUAACAUGACACAUCAUCAAUUUUUAACCUAAGAUUUUUUUAAAAAAAAAUUGAAGUUAAUUUUAAAGUUAACGUGCUUGAGGGGUUUUUUUUUUCAUCAUGCUUCCUCCUUGAGAAAACUGUGAAUAAAAUUAAUUAAUUGCUACUUAUCUUCAGCUUAUAUAUUGAACCCUAAAGCAUAAAGCGAACUUCAAAACUUUAAUUUUUUGGCCACACAAACUUGAGCAAAGUAUGUCUUAUCUUUUUCACAAGAUUAUUCACUCUCAUUCUAAAUUCAUCGUGAUAUGUUAAGAAAUAACAAGUUUCACGAUGAACUAAAAAAGAACUCUCAAGCACGUUAACAUUAACGUUAGCAUAAGUUUUUGGAAAGAACGAAAAAGACCUUAAUUUAAAGAUUGAUGAUAUGUCAUAUGAAUGGUUAAAUUAUUUAGUUUAAAUUUUACGAAAUAUAAAUAAAUACACGGAUUCUAAAUAUAGAAAUUUGAUAUUCAUUUGCCAUAAAUAUCACUUUAAGAGUGAAAAUCCAGAAUACUAAACUAAAAUUAUAUUUCUUCACAAAAAUUGCAUCUAAAGAUGAGGAUAAAUUGAUGUUCAUCCGGACAUUGAAAAAGCACAAUAUAUCGUGAAGAUAUUCGAUAUAUUGAAAACCUCGCCGAUAUUCAUGUAGGAAGGCUAAACGAUUUUUUUAUGGCAAAAACUUCAACAACAACAACAAAAAAAGAGGCCUGGAAAAUUAUUAUUAUCAUAAUCGUGGUGGGAAUUCAAAAUUGAAAAUAAUUGAGAACGUCAUGCAUUCAUCGUUCGUUAUCCAGGUCUUGGAGCUUUGCUAACACCUAGGCGCAACCACUUAAGGCAGUGGCGGGUAUGGGUGACGUGGUCCACUCACAAGACGCCACGACCACCAAAGUGUACCUUGAAACGCGUGCUCUUAGAAAAUAGCACAGAGAUUCUCUCUCUCAGGGGAUAUGCUUGAAAUUUAUGAACAAAACAGAAGGAAAAAUAAAAACAAACAAGAGGCUAUUUUUGGUGUUGUCUGUGUGAAAGCCGCCAAAACAGCAAAUAUGCUGAUAAGGUUAGAAUGGGCCGAGCUCAGAUUAGCCACAAAGACUGUUCCUCUCUGGGCCCACUUAUCAAUAUUUUAACAUUUUUUUUAAUGGAGCUCGACAAUGAACAAAUUUUGAAGGUAAUUACUUGAUGUUAGUUAGAGAACCUCUAUGUCUAAGGGAACUACGAGUUCAAGGAAGCUUUGAGCUCAACGGCGUGUCUGCUAAGCUCAGAUGGUGAUAAUUGACGAAGCGCUGGCAACAUGAUGAACGAAGAGCAUUUUCAGUGCUGGCAAAACUAAAGGCAGAAAAAUUGUAUGAAAUUUUUUAAAUUGAAAGAGCAGUGCCAUAAUAAAAUGACCUACUCUGGAUCUAUUCUCUCUGAUCAGAAUCAUCAAAUUGCUUCAAGAGGUUCUUGAAAUGUAGAAACCCUUCUGUCCUUUGCUCAUCAUGGUUCUUCUCAGAACCAACCAAGUGAGGAACCAGAGAUUCAGGAGUGAAUCUAAGUUGCCUGGAAUGAGCAGCUGGCAAUCCAUUGGAACAGGUGGUUUACCAGGUGAAAAAUCUACCGGAGAAGCCAAGGGCAUUGGUGCGAACGCAGAUGUCUCAUGUUCCUGCUUCUUGGUUCUGUCUCUAGGUAGGUCUUGCUGCUUUUGCAAACAAUAUCGUUUGAAAUUGAGAGAGUAAGUAUUUUGUUCUCACACCUUUAACUCUUCGCUUGCCUAAUGCUGAAUCUAACUUCCUCGCACUACCACCAUGCAUGAGCUGAUCACUUGCACUGCUGAUGCUCGUGAAUUGGUGACAAGGGGAGCUCCGUGGCAACUCAGGGUUGAGUAUCUUAGUUCCCAAAACCUUAAUGGGAUGCGCGACUGGUCGUCCUAGAAAAACAUACUUGUUAGGGUUAGAGGUCCAUCGGAGUAGUCAUUAGCUGCUAAUCAACCCGAGAGAGAGAGAGAGAGAGAGAGAGAGAGAGAGAGAGAGAGAGAGAGAGAGAGAGAGAGAGCAAAGAAGAAAUGUGGGGCGUGUUUUUUUUUUCCUAAUCUUAUAAUUAAGCGUGUGUUUUCUAAAUCGGGGCAUGUGAGUUGUAUUAGUCGGGUAAUGAGAGUAUUAAAAACUUUCGUUUAAUAUAAUUCAGUAAUUAAGUAAUACAAGUUGACAUCAAACAAAUGACAUUGACUAUUUACUCAUAUCCAUAGUCUAAUACCAUGUACCAAACAUACCUAUACGAGCUUUUGCCACAUGACUCAUCUAACAUGACAAUCCAAGUCCACAAA